UUCACUCUGCUGCAGGCACUCAUUUUAUUUUAAGAGCACUCCCUUUCUCUAAGGUUUCUAAGUCACAAGGAAAUUUAAUUCAGAAGCCCAACAACAAAAUGAUAGAUCUUCACAGAUUCAUCCUCUGGCCUGUGUGUCCCUGCAGACCUGAAUGCCUUCUCUGCACAGAAGACGAGUAUGGAUCUGAGAGGGAAUUUUUGCCCACAAAAUUGAAAAGGCUAUAUUAUUCCCUCCUUAGUGAGGUA